CAGAAGGUGGCAGUAACGCUCAAUGAAAAGGACGUCAACUGCCAUAAAAGAAGAAUAAACAUUGUUUGUUUUGGGCGCCAAAAUGAAGACUCAGCAGCAGCAGUCAGUCAGAAGAACUCUCUCAGACGGACACCACGUUAUUAAAGUCCAUCAUCCUUUCAUACGCUACACACUCAAAAGCAUUGAUAAAUGCUGAAUUUAAAAGAAUCACUACUGUCUUAUGUUCCUGCGUGUCACCUGGACCUCCAAUCCAAAAACCUGAUGAAACUCUUCUAUCAGAAAGGAGGACAGCUAGCAAAAAGACUUGGAACAAUCAAUUAUCAAAUGACAGAAGGCAUGGAUGAAGUCAGCAUCAGUGUGGUCAUUUGAAGACACCAAUGUUGGGAUUUGUGCUCUCAAACAACAUGCUUCUUGUGAUGAAGAAGAGGAUCUUUGUAUAGUCCUGGAAGCCAUGAAGGUGUUGCAACAUCGUGCCAUGUUGUUUGAGCUGAUGUAUGCCUUAAACCUGAGCUAUCCUGAUCUCCGCUUUAUUUUUGAGGAAAUCCAAAAGAUUUUAAUGGAACUGCAUUGAGCGUAACUUUAACGAACAGUUUCUUUCAGUGAAAGGAUCAGAAAGACUGUGCUGCUCAUUUAUGUUCUUUUUAUUUAUCUGUUUUAAGUGUUUUCUCUUAUUAAAACAUUAACAGUUUGCUGCUCAGA